rnacentral:misc_RNA from 1 species
AACGCACAUUGCGCCCCUUGGUAUUCCGAGGGGCAUGCCUGUUCGAGCGUCAUUAUAACCACUCAAGCCUUGGCUUGGUAUUGGGGAUCGCGAUCUCGCGGCCCUUAAAAUCAGUGGCGGUGCCGUCUGGCUCUAAGCGUAGUAAUUUCUCUCGCUAUAGGGUCUGGUGGUUACUUGCCAUUAACCCCCCAUUUUCUUAGGUUGACCUCGGAUCAGGUAGGGAUACCCGCUGAACUUAA